rnacentral:tRNA from 1 species
UAUAAAGUGGGUUUAAAAGUGGUAGACCAUGUGCUUAGCAUGCACAAGGCCUGGGUUCGAUCCCCAGUACCAAAA